rfam:Triticum aestivum genome assembly, contig: Triticum_aestivum_CS42_TGACv1_scaffold_306829_4AS
AUUCUACUCCCUCCGUCGCACAAUACAUGCCUUCUAUUUGUCAAAAUAUAUAUGUAUCUAGACAUGUUUUAGUAUAUAGGUACAUCCAUUUUUGGACAAAUGGAAGUCAAGUAUUUUGGAACGGAGGGAGUACACA